rnacentral:rRNA from 1 species
UACGUAGGUGGCGAGCGUUAUCCGGAAUGAUUGGGCGUAAAGGGUGCGUAGGCUGUGAGGUAAGUCAGCGGUGAAAUGCCCCCGCUCAACGGGGUGAAGUGCCAUUGAUACUGCCUUGCUGGAAUGCGGAUGCCGUGGGAGGAAUGUGUGGUGUAGCGGUGAAAUGCAUAGAUAUCACACAGAACACCGAUUGCGAAGGCAUCUCACGAAUCCGCGAUUGACGCUGAUGCACGAAAGCGUGGGUAUCAAACAGG